UGGUGGUAUUCCAUAUUUCUUUCCUCUGUUCCCUCUUCUUUUAAGUUAUGUGUCUCAGUUUUGAAUUUUUGUGUGGGUGUGUGUGGUUUCCU